AAGUGAAUAGGUGAUGGUGUUCGCCUUUAAACGUUAUUCUUUAGAUAACUAAUGACGCCUACUAAAAA
rfam:Enterococcus villorum ATCC 700913 genomic scaffold acvIF-supercont1.8, whole genome shotgun sequence.